ACGCUCGACACCUACGGGAGGCUGCAGUGGGGAAUAUUGCACAAUGGGGGAAACCCUGAUGCAGCGACGCCGCGUGAGCGAAGAAGUAUUUCGGUAUGUAAAGCUCUAUCAGCAGGGAAGAAACUGACGGUACCUGACUAAGAAGCACCGGCUAAAUACGUGCCUGCAGCCGCGGUAAUCUGAGCGGGCUGGCAAGGC
rnacentral:rRNA from 1 species